UGCUAAGCUAAGUUUGCGACUCAAGAGUUAAGAAGAAAUGCACAAUACAUCUGUUGAGAAAUAUUGUUUGUACUUUUAGUUCAAAUUGUGUAUCUGAUUACUCUGAUGGCCCAAUAUUUUAUAUUUCUAGGAGCUCACUUAUAGAUGCUCCUAGAAAAUGUUAUUUGGGGGUGAUGCAAAGGAGAAGCAUAUUGUAAGCACGGACCCGACA
rnacentral:lncRNA from 1 species